CUUGGAACUAGAUUCAGUAUCAUAGCCCUUGAGGCCUUCCCACAUCUUUUCUUUCUUUUGACUUUUUCUAUUUUAGAUAGUGGUCUCAAUUACAAUACUCCCUUCUAGUUCCUUCUUUCUUCUCACUCCAACUGUCUUAUCACAUGCCACUGAAAAUGUCUUUGACACUUCUCACAGUUGUAACUCCACAGUGUAACCUCUCUAUGACCACUUUUUCUCUUGGAGGAAUGACUCAUUGCAAAUGUCUCCUCAACACUGAUGGUUGACCUUAGCAUAACCUUAGUUUCCUUUUUUGCUUUGGGAUUCUGGCAGUAUCAAGAAACUCUUCAACUUCUGAUAUCAUCAUUGCACUCUCAGGCCUCAGUGUUUUCAUAUAUUUUGAUUCUUGUAAAUUCUUUCCUGCUUCUUAAUAAGUAUACUAUUAUUCUAUAGGUCUUCCACUAACUUUUAUUUUCCUCUUUCUCCUUUCCUUUUCUUUUUUAAAAACUGAUACUGGGAAUUGAACUCAGGGAUGUUUUUUCACUUAGGUAAAUCCCCAAGCCUUUUUAUUUUUUAGACAGAGCAUAAGUUGCCCAGAAUGACCUCAAACUUUCCAUCCUCUUGCUUCAGCCUUCAGAGUUGCUGGGAUUACAGGCAUGCACCACUGUGCUGGGCUUCCUCUCUCUUUUCUUAUCAUCUCAUCAAUAUAUAUUCCCUUCAUUCAGAAGUUAUGUUGGGUGAGGAUGAUGUUAUAUUUAAAUUUUUUGAUUAUAAGUGGGUGAUAUAAAGAGGAAAAAAGUUUUAUGUGAAUGAGUAGGUGGCUUGGAGUCAGAAUGGAAGGAGCAGGUAUUUUACAAUAAGUGUAAUGGCAAGGGAUUAACAUGAUUUUUAUAGUUAUGCCAUCAAUCUUUCACUUCCUUAUUGGAGUUUUAAAUUUUCUGUCAGUAUUGUUUGACCAACUUGUUAGAAUUACAACACAGCAGUUUAUAAAAGAAUAUUCAUUGACUCACCUACUGCUUUACUAUUUCCCAAAUGAUCUCCAGAAUUUAUUUCCCACAAAACAGAAAUGUUGUCUGAAAGGUACGUUACUAUACAACAAGAAUCUAUAGCAUUGUCAGAUGAAAACUUUAAGCUUUCAUAGUUUCCACACAGUAUUAUUUAUAUUUCUAAGUAUUCAACAAAUAUUAAUUGCUUCUUACAUUUCUAGGAGCCUCUUUAUACCAAAGCUGAUGAUAGG
rnacentral:lncRNA from 1 species